UAGCUCAGCCUGGCAGAGCGUCUGUUUCGUAAACAGAAAGUCGGGGGUUCAAAUCCC
rnacentral:tRNA from 1 species